rnacentral:rRNA from 1 species
UACGUAGGGUGCAAGCGUUAAUCGGAAUUACUGGGCGUAAAGCGUGCGCAGGCGGUUGUGCAAGACAGAUGUGAAAUCCCCGGGCUUAACCUGGGAACUGCAUUUGUGACUGCACGGCUAGAGUGCGGCAGAGGGGGAUGGAAUUCCGCGUAGCAGUGAAAUGCGUAGAUAUGCGGAGGAACACCGAUGGCGAAGGCAAUCCCCUGGGCCUGCACUGACGCUCAUGCACGAAAGCGUGGGGAGCAAACAGG